CAAUAGCAUAUAUUAACGUUGUUGCAGUUGAAAAGCUCGUAGUUGAACUUUUGGUAGGAGCGACCUGGCCUUGGGCGCAUGCCCUUGUUUGCCGUGUGUCGUAUCUGGCCAUCCUUUUCCGCUUCGGCGGGAAUCCUUUACUGUGAGUAAACUGGAGUGCUCAAAACAAGACGUUUGUUUGGUACAUUAAAGCAUGGAAUAAUAAGAUAGGACCUGGUUACUAUUUUGUUGGUUUGCAUAGCUAGGUAAUGAUUAACAGGGACAGUUGGGGGUAUUCGUAUUUAAUUGUCAGAGGUGAAAUUCUUGGAUUUAUGAAAGGCGAACGACUGCGAAAGCAUUUACCAAGGAUGUUUUCAUUAA
rnacentral:rRNA from 1 species